UCUCUAUAGGACUAGUGGUUAGGCCACAGUGCUCUCACCAAUGUGGCCCGGGUUUGAUUCCCCACCAGGGAA